rnacentral:lncRNA from 1 species
CCACAGUAUCUACAGCACAAAUGGUAUCACAGAUGCUUGAUGCUCAUUUUUCACAUAACAAAGGCAUAGCAGCACUGAGUGAUGCCUGCGGCACGAACCAAGCGGCUCCAGCGAGUCUCUGUGGCCACUGGAUGUCACUGUUGUUCCGCAGAAAGCAACCCGACGUGCUAACCCCACGGAGGCAAUGCGAUGGCAGUGGUGUGCUAUUGACAUUGUGUUAUAAUUUAUGAAGCCACAGAUGGUUGGAACGUGUAAUUCAUUUUGUGGAUGGCAAGUGUAAAUCCUGUUGUUCCUCACAUGGCACAGUCCAACCUGCUACUAAAGACACCGGCCUCACUGAUCCCAGUUACUCCAGGAGGGGUGUAGCACACCCUUUUGGACAUGCUGCUGCCAUCAGUUCAGACACAAAUAAAGCUGCUCUUACAAAUGAUUCA